rnacentral:rRNA from 1 species
UGAGACACGGUCCAGACUCCUACGGGAGGCAGCAGUGGGGAAUAUUGCACAAUGGGCGAAAGCCUGAUGCAGCAACGCCGCGUGAGCGAUGAAGGCCUUCGGGUCGUAAAGCUCUGUCCUCAAGGAAGAUAAUGACGGUACUUGAGGAGGAAGCCCCGGCUAACUACGUGCCAGCAGCCGCGGUAAUACGUAGGGGGCUAGCGUUAUCCGGAAUUACUGGGCGUAAAGGGUGCGUAGGUGGUUUUUUAAGUCAGAAGUGAAAGGCUACGGCUCAACCGUAGUAAGCUUUUGAAACUAGAGAACUUGAGUGCAGGAGAGGAGAGUAGAAUUCCUAGUGUAGCGGUGAAAUGCGUAGAUAUUAGGAGGAAUACCAGUAGCGAAGGCGGCUCUCUGGACUGUAACUGACACUGAGGCACGAAAGCGUGGGGAGCAAACAGGAUUAGAUACCCUGGUAGUCCACGCCGUAAACGAUGAGUACUAGGUGUCGGGGGUUACCCCCCUCGGUGCCGCAGCUAACGCAUUAAGUACUCCGC